GCUGGGUGCGGUGGCUCACACCUGUAAUCCUAGCACUUUGGGAGGCUGAGGUGGGUGGAUCACCUGAGGUCAGGAGUUCAAGACUAGCCUGGCCAACAUGGUGAAACUCCAUCUCUA
rnacentral:SRP_RNA from 1 species